GACUGCGAGAAGAAAUGAACAGCAGAGGAAAAAUCCCAAUCCUAAAGGAGAAUAUAAAACACCCAGCAGAGCACGAGGAAAGUCCAAGCACACACGUAAACCUAUACACAUGCUGCUCAUCAUAAAGAAUAUCUUACUACGUAGAAUCCUGACCACAUUAACAGUGACCAAGAUUUGUGCAACCCAAACCGGAAUGAACGUAAUUGCAAAGGCAUGUGGUUCUCUGUGAUGAUAACUAGAAACAUGAAGACUGUUC
rnacentral:lncRNA from 1 species